CUAAACCUAACGCACGAAACACCCGCCUCCCUACGUACCGCCGUCCUCUCUCUCCCUCUCCCAGAUCCAGAUCGAGGCCCUCGCGUCUCUCCUCUCCCUCCAUCUCCGCUGCAGCCGGCUCCCGCCCAGUCCUCGUCCUCCUCUAUCUCCACAUCCGCUCAGUCCUCGUCCUCCGCUGCGGCCCGCAUGCUGGAGGAAGCUGGCGGCUAGGCCGGCCACAGAGCAGAGGAAGGCUGCGGCACACACACAGGGCAGGGACCACACGCGAUCGGUCAACGUCACCAGCGGGAGGUUUCGUCCUCGGGCUCGACAUGCCGCCUCCUCCCCGCGCGCGUGCACUCCACCCCCACUACCCCCUCCUCUGCCUCCGCCUGCCCGGUCCGGCCCGGCGACGACGACUCCCCCGCGCGGCUCAAGCGAUGAAGCGACAAUCCCUUCUACGUGAGGAAACGAUUUUACAGUACAAGUUGGGCAAUUUCGAGCUGCAAUCCAGAAAAGAUGUUGGCCUUCGUUCAUGUUUCGUCGCAAGGUCCAGGACGAAGAAGUCAGGAGAAGCACAGAGUUCUUGAUCAUUGGAGCUAGUUAUUGUUUUGAUUUUUUAGUUGUGUUACCUGAUGUGAACUAGUUUUGAUUGUAAACCUGAUGCGAACCAUGUUUGAUUGAAAUUUUCCAAGUUUGGAUAUGUUGGAUUGUAUUCAUGAUGUGACAGAGGUUCAAGUUAUAAUGGUUGUUUGACAUAUUUUGUAA